UGGACUUGUGUCAUGCACAAAGUAGAAGUCCUAACCGACUUGCCAAAACUAUAGUUUGUUAACAAGACAUUUGCGGAGUGGUUGAAAAACGAGUUUUAAUGACUCCAACCUAAGUGUAUGUAAACAUCCGACUUCAACUGUAGAUAGUGACAUAGUUCCUCUAUGCUACGUAGGUAGUGACAUAGUUCCUCUAUGCUACGUAGGUAGUGACAUAGGUCCUCUAUGCUACGUAGGUAGUGACAUAGGUCUUCUAUGACUAAAGAGUCCCAUCAUUGAAACCAAACCCUGGUCACGGUGUUACCUAGGCUCCGGUUUUCAAGACGAUCUACUAGCCAAAGUAGGGGGCUCUGGUCAAAAUAAUAACAAUAUAUGCCAUUUAGCGGCCAUUUUUAUUUUAAUUACCCAAAGCGACUCAAGUCAUGUGUGCAUACAUUUUACAUAUGGGUGGUCCCGGGAAUGGAACUCAUUACCCUGGCAUUACAUGUCUCUACCGACUAAGCUACAAAAAGACCUGUUACGGAGCAGGAAUAUUCUAGACAUAUCCUAUGGAAUAGGGAAGCAUUUGGGAGGCACAGUACCAGCCGAGGUGAGAUUACGACGGCUGGAUACCCAAGACUAUCUAUGGACCGGACUAUCUGUGUGUUUAAUUAUGAUUUCUAUUAAAAAAAAGUAUUUUUGGUGGUUUUAUGAAACGUUAUACGAGUGAUUCGUGACUACACACAUGGACUCGUAGUGAGGAACACCGUUUAUUAAUUAUGUUGAAAUACUGAUUUACAAAUAAAACAUAAAACUAC